UACAGAGGUCUCAAGCGUUGUUCGGAUUCAUUGGGCGUAAAGGGUGCGUAGGUGGCGGGGUAAGUCAGGUGUGAAAUCUCGGGGCUCAACCCCGAAACUGCACUUGAUACUGCCUUGCUCGAGUACUGGAGAGGAGAUCGGAAUUUACGGUGUAGCAGUGAAAUGCGUAGAUAUCGUAAGGAAGACCAGUGGCGAAGGCGAAUCUCUGGACAGUUACUGACACUGAGGCACGAAGGCCAGGGGAGCAAACGGG
rnacentral:rRNA from 1 species